GUCUACGGCCAUACCACCCUGCCUGAACAUGCCUGAUCUCAUCUGAUCUCAGAAGCUAAGCAGGGUCAGGCCUGGUUAGUACUUGGAUGGGAGAAAUAGCAAGAAAUAUAUAAA
rnacentral:rRNA from 1 species